AGAGUUUGAUCAUGGCUCAGGAUAAACGCUGGCGGCGCACAUAAGACAUGCAAGUCGAACGAACUUAACUCAUUCUUUUAGUUUGAGAGCGGUUAGUGGCGGACUGGUGAGUAACACGUAAGCAACCUGCCUAUUAGAGGGGAAUAACAGUGAGAAAUCAUUGCUAAUACCGCAUAUGCUAACAGUAUCGCGUGAUACAGUUAGGAAAGGAGUCAUCCGCUAAUAGAUGGGCUUGCGUCUGAUUAGCUAGUUGGUGGGGUAACGGCCUACCAAGGCGACGAUCAGUAGCCGGACUGAGAGGUUGAACGGCCACAUUGGGACUGAGAUACGGCCCAGACUCCUACGGGAGGCAGCAGUCGGGAAUAUUGCGCAAUGGAGGAAACUCUGACGCAGUGACGCCGCGUAUAGGAAGAAGGUUUUCGGAUUGUAAACUAUUGUCGUUAGGGAAGAUACAAGACAGUACCUAAGGAGGAAGCCCCGGCUAACUAUGUGCCAGCAGCCGCGGUAAUACAUAGGGGGCAAGCGUUAUCCGGAAUUAUUGGGUGUAAAGGGUGCGUAGACGGAGGAGCAAGUUGGUUGUGAAAUCCCUCGGCUUAACUGAGGAACUGCAACCAAAACUACUUCCCUUGAGUGUCGGAGAGGAAAGUGGAAUUCCUAGUGUAGCGGUGAAAUGCGUAGAUAUUAGGAGGAACACCAGUGGCGAAGGCGACUUUCUGGACGAUAACUGACGUUGAGGCACGAAAGUGUGGGGAGCAAACAGGAUUAGAUACCCUGGUAGUCCACACUGUAAACGAUGGAUA
rnacentral:rRNA from 1 species